rnacentral:rRNA from 1 species
UACGUAGGGGGCAAGCGUUGUCCGGAUUUAUUGGGCGUAAAGAGCGUGUAGUCGGUUAGGUAGGUCCGUUGUGAAAACUCGAGGCUCAACCUCGAGACGCCGAUGGAAACCAUCUAACUAGAGUCCGGAAGAGGAGAGUGGAAUUCCUGGUGUAGCGGUGAAAUGCGCAGAUAUCAGGAAGAACACCCGUGGCUAAGGCGGCUCUCUAGUACGGUACUGACGCUGAGACGCGAAAGCGUGGGGAGCGAACAGG